ensembl:lncRNA
CACAGCUCAGGAAAGGGCCACGAAAAAGAGGCUGUUCACAGACUCAGAAACUGUGAAGGACUGCAUGUUGGCUGUCGUGGAUGAAGUUUUAACGGACGAUAAAGUUAAGACGAGUGUGACAUCUGCUAUCAAACAGGUUUCCCAGAGACUAUGGGUUGAGGAGGAAUUGGAAGUUUGUCGGCUUAGACCUGGUGUUAUUCCAUCAGUGUUAAACUUCCCGGCUCAUCUUGGAAGAGUACGUGCCAGAAAGACCACGACCAAGCAGCCUUGAGAUCUUAGACAGCGUCUCCCUGAGGUCCCUCUCUAUCUCCCCACACAUCCACCAACCACUGGAACACAUCUCC